rnacentral:rRNA from 1 species
UACGUAGGGUGCAAGCGUUGUCCGGAAUUAUUGGGCGUAAAGAGCUUGUAGGCGGUUUGUCGCGUCUGCUGUGAAAUUUCGGGGCUCAACCCCGAACUUGCAGUGGGUACGGGCAGACUAGAGUGUGGUAGGGGGAGACUGGAAAUUCCUGGUGUAGCGGUGAAAUGCGCAGAUAUCAAGAGGAACACCGAUGGCGAAGGCAGGUCUCUGGGCCACUACUGACGCUGAGAAGCGAAAGCAUGGGGAGCGAACAGG